AGGUCCGUAGUUCAAUUGGUAGAGCAUCGCACUCCAAAUGCGAAAGUUGAGGGUUCGAGUCCUUCCGGGCCUGCCA
rnacentral:tRNA from 1 species